CAGGGAGACAAGCAAUGAUCAUGAUGCUUGAGUUAUUUAUUCUUAAGCCUUGGUCUUGUCACCUUAGGUCGAUCGGUACCUCAGAUCUAUUUCCAUUCUCUGAAUAAAGUCGGAGACACUGAGAUUGAUUUCUGUUCCUAAACUUUGUCUAGGUCACACCCAACAAGGGUAAUCCUGGGCCAUUAGCUCAGGUGGUUAGAGCGCACCCCUGAUAAGGGUGAGGUCCCUGGUUCAAGUCCAGGAUGGCCCAUUCAGUUUUGGGGGUAUAGCUCAGUUGGUAGAGCGCCUGCUUUGCGAGCAGGAUGUCAUCGGUUCGAGUCCGCUUACCUCCACUGAUCUAACUCCUUUAAUUGAAAUGUUAGAGGGAUCCUUUUGUGAUGUGAUUUAGAUUUAUUGUCCGCUAGACGACCCUAGCUUCCUAUCAUUCCUAUCUUUCAUUAGGUUGACAGGACGCUGGGCUCACUGAGAUUCUUUAGAAUCUCAGAGAUGUUUAGCAGAACCUUGACAACUGCAUAGGUGAGUCUGGAAAGAAUAAAAGCAUCUCAUAGAUGCAUUAAUCUUUCGGCUAAUAACAUUAAACUGUUAGUUCAGUUUAAUCGAAUUUAGCCUGAGACUAAUGUUUAAUUCUUGAGUUUUAAGAGCCGAGUAUCUAAACCUUAUUUCUAUAUCUUUUGAUAUUAGUAAAUAGAGGUUUAGUUUUAUAU
rnacentral:tRNA from 1 species